rnacentral:tRNA from 1 species
GGGCUCGUGGUCUAGCUGGUCAUGACGUCGCCUUCACACGGCGGAGGUCCUGGAUUCGAAUUCCAGCGGGCCCA